GCCACUCACUCAAUAUUUAUCCCACCACGAAGAAAUUUAUAUCCCUGGAAAGCUGAGCUCAAGACCUUUUUAACGGUAUGCCGUUUUGCUCUUUCACAGAGUAUCGAAAGUUUGUACGCUGAUCUAUUCACUGCGAUAAACGAUGCAAAUCGAAGUGCGUGUAGACACGUCAUCCGCACGCAAAGGGUUAAUAAUGGGUUUGGAUGCUCACCUUAUUCGUUUCUUCCUCUUUGUUGUGUUGUGCGUAGUGAGUGCUGGUGUCAACUCACAGCAAUCUGCCAGCGCAGCAGCAGAACCUGUCAUGACGACCAAGCCACUACCAUGAAGUCCAUAGCUGUGUACAUGUAAAUAGACCUAUGAUUCAACAGGUUUCAAUCGGACCUCUUCUCCUCUGUGAAUAGACCUAUGAUUCAACAGGUUUCAAUCGGAACUCUUCUCCUCUGUGAAUAGACCUGUGAUUCAACAGGUUUCAAUCGGACCUCUUCUCCUCUGUGAAUAGACCUAUGAUUCAACAGGUUUCAAUCGGACCUCUUCUCCUCUGUGAAUAGACCUAUGAUUCAACCGGUUUCAAUCGGACCUCUUCUCCUCUAUGAAUAGACCUAUGAUUCAACAGGUUUCAAUUGGGCCUCUUCUCCUAUGUAAAUAGAGCUAAGAAGUUUGUACCAUAAUAUUGUUCAUAGUCUUGUUCGCUGACAAUUAAUCCUGCUGUAUUCUGUGUCCUGCUGUAUCCUGUGUGAUGAGAUCUAUCCGUCACUAUUUUAUUUUUUGGCAAGAAAUAGGGUGAACUUAUUUUAUUCCGUCUAUCGCCUAUUUAUUUUUCAAUUUACUUGCCCGCUGAUCUUAGACAGGUGUGUCUAAGCAACCAACCACUGUAUAUUUAUCUACAAUUUAGGUCAUACGGUUUUUCUAUUAUUAGUGAAAUCUAGCGCAACAAUGUGAACCAGUCUCCACAGAACUAGCGCAACAAUGUGAACCAGUCUCCACAGACCAAGCUGCUAUUUAUAGGUCACUUGUGUUGUACAAGUCUCGUUGCUGUUUAAGUUUUACGCACUUCGUAUACAUAUAUGCACAUGUUAGUCCUGGUGUCCAUUGUUGAAAAUGUUUGAAACUUUUUUUUUAAACAAGAGCAAUAUCUUUGCGAGCUAUCAUCAAACAGUCCUACUAUCUCCCCAACUUUAUGAUUAAAAACUGGCGAAGUCCAUUACUAACGAAGCGAAAAAAUCAACUCAUACCAUCCACUUUUUUUAAAUUUGAGUAUAAUAAAACAACCUAUGAAUCGUU